AACGUAGGAGGCAAGCGUUAUCCGGAGUUACUGGGCGUAAAGGGCAGGCAGGCGGGUCGAUAAGUCGGAUGUGAAAUCUCCCUGGCUAACCGGGAGAGUGCAUUUGAGACUGUCAACCUGGGAGGGCAGCAGAGGAGCGUGGAAUUCCGGGUGGAGUGGUGAAAUGCGUAGAGAUCCGGAGGAAGCACCAGAGGCGAAAGCGGCGCUCUGGGCUGGCACCUGACGCUGAACUGCGAAGCCAGGGAGCGAACGGG
rnacentral:rRNA from 1 species